ACUAGUUCAACACAAGAGGCUGAUAAAUUUAAAUAUAUUUCUUUGAUAAGUGUUAGAAAUUUGGAAACAAAAUGAGUAGAUCAAUAUGAACCAUGUGUUUAUAUUAAAAUCAGAACACUUCCAGGUGGGGUCUGAGAGCUUAGGUAGGCCCGAUUCUGGUAGUAAUCAUAAUAUAUUUCAUUUAGAGGCUAAGCCGAUGAGGAUUUAGAAACAAAGGAAAAAAGGAAUAAGGACAUGUCGAUUGUAGCAGAUGGAUUGAUUCAUAGCCAAAGCAUCUUCAAUGGAGUUGUAUCUGUGGGAGGUGAUGACGAACACUCAGGAGAAAUAACUUCAUAAUCGGUAAUGGUAGAGGCAACCAUGGAUUUUGAGGCCUGGUCGGUGAUUCAUGGAUUGAUCGUAUGCAAGAGAGUGUAAAUCAGUUGAGGCGACCAUAGAUUCCAGACAAUAAUGGAGUGGUUUCUUUGUUCUUGUAUGUGUCGAGUUCAUCUGCAUAUGUUUCUCAAUACAAAAGUCUCCAUUUUUUACCAAUGAAUCUCUUUUAGGUUUAAUCUUGUGUUAUGUAGCUCUUCUUUAAUUGUGUACCUAUUUAAUUUAAAGGCUGAAUAUUUGAUCCUAUGAUUUCAAAAUAGAUAUUGAUUGCAUUAGAA